UGUAGGAGCUGGCUUGCCUGCGAUGCGAGCACCUCGGUGUAUCAGGGUUACCCAGUCGAUGCUAUCGCAGGCAAGCCAGCUCCCACA
rnacentral:misc_RNA from 1 species